AAUUAUUUAUGCCCAUAUAUAGCUGCAUUUUCAGUAUCAGUAUAUGUCGCUUAUGCAGGAUGAUUUCUGUGGUUUUCCUUGAAAAAAUUGCAUACAUUAAUACUUCAUUCAUUAUCAAAUAUCUCUAACAUCUAUCUUGUCUUUCUGCUUCCUGGGUUCUUUUCCUUUGCUGGAAAAUUCAAUCUAAAUUCAUCCCACCAACCACCAACUCCUCUGUUUACUUACCUGAAACAAAUUAAUACCAAAUAGACAACAUCCAGGAAGAGGGAUAUACAUUCUAUACGAGGAUGUGAAGUCUUGCCCUUAUGAAGAUGUACAUGUCCUAUGGUCAAUACUAGUGGAGGCACAUACACCUUCCAUGCCAUCAAAACAAUGAAGGGGAAAUACCCAGUACAGAGUCACAAACAAAUGAGAGUUAUAUGUACAUAAAAUAUUUAUGAUGUUUUAUAUACUCCUCUGAGAGGCCUUUUUUUCCUUUUUCUUUUUCUAGUUUUUGCUUUUCAAGUUACUUGUCAUCUCAGUUACAUAGUAGAACAUCACUUCCCUUGUCUCA